rnacentral:rRNA from 1 species
UACGGAGGGUGCAAGCGUUAUCCGGAUUCACUGGGUUUAAAGGGUGCGUAGGUGGGCAGGUAAGUCAGUGGUGAAAUCUCCGGGCUUAACCCGGAAACUGCCGUUGAUACUAUCUGUCUUGAAUAUCGUGGAGAUGAGCGGAAUAUGUCAUGUAGCGGUGAAAUGCUUAGAUAUGACAUAGAACACCGAUUGCGAAGGCAGCUCGUUACACGGUUAUUGACACUGAGGCACGAAAGCGUGGGGAUCAAACAGG